UCUCCGUUGGUGAACCAGCGGAGGGAUCAUUACCGAGUUAUUCUACUCCCAAACCCCUGUGAACUUAUACCUCUACUGUUGCUUCGGCGGGUCAACGCCCCGGAACGCCCGCGAGUGACCCCGGAACCAGGCGCCCGCCGGGGGACCCACACACUUUUCUCUUUUUUCUAGCAUGUCUUUGUAGAACCGAACACAUAUGUAUCAAAUCUUUCAACAACGGAUCUCUUGGGUAUGGCAUCCGUCAAGAACGCAGCAAAUCGGAACUACAUACUUCUGAAC
rnacentral:misc_RNA from 1 species